CCUACGGGGGGCUGCAGUGAGGAAUAUUGUUCAAUGGACGAGAGUCUGAACCAGCCAAGUAGCGUGAAGGAUGACUGCCCUAUGGGUUGUAAACUUCUUUUAUAUGGGAAUAAAACGUUCCACGUGUGGGAUUUUGUAUGUACCAUAUGAAUAAGGAUCGGCUAACUCCGUGCCAGCAGCCGCGGUAAUACGGAGGAUCCGAGCGUUAUCCGGAUUUAUUGGGUUUAAAGGGAGCGUAGGUGGAUUGUUAAGUCAGUUGUGAAAGUUUGCGGCUCAACCGUAAAAUUGCAGUUGAAACUGGCAGUCUUGAGUACAGUAGAGGUGGGCGGAAUUCGUGGUGUAGCGGUGAAAUGCUUAGAUAUCACGAAGAACUCCGAUUGCGAAGGCAGUUCACUGGACUGCAACUGACACUGAGGCUCGAAAGUGUGGGUAUCAAACAGGAUUAGAUACCCGUGUAGUC
rnacentral:rRNA from 1 species